GCGGAAAAGUGGAAAGUUCUAAGCUGACAAUUAUUAAAUAACCGGAUUUAAAAUAUAGGUAAUUAUUACCUGCUAUAUUCACUUUGUGAACGGGCGGGAUUAUCUGCUAAUUUGAGUUGAAUUGAAAGUUUUUUGUCAUUAAAGCAUACUUUUAUUAUGUAAAACCAUGAUUUCAGUGAACAUUAUAGAUCAAACGCCUAAAAGUAUCG
rnacentral:misc_RNA from 1 species